CAUUGGGUUCAUUGACCCGAACACAAUGCAUGUCAAAACCAUAGAUGAUCCCCUCUAUAACAAGGAUACACCGCAGACUUUGCUAAGGUUUUUGAAGCGACAACGUGACAAAAAGCUAAUACUUUGGCCUUACAACUUCGAGUUUCACUUUAUUCUUCUCGUCAUCAAUUUGGAAAUUGGAGAAGUUGAAGUCUUGGACUCACUAACCAAAGAAAAGGAUCUAUACGUGUCUUGUUUUUUAAUGCUCAGAAGCGUAUGGCAAACUUUCAUCAAGGAAGAUACGUCCCGUGAAUGGCCACCGAAGCUGCGAUGGCGUGCGAAAAAAUGCCCGCAACAACCUCCGGGGACCGAUCUCUGUGGAUUCUUCGUUUGCGAGUUCAUCCGCAGAAUUGUCAACGAGAGAACGAAUAAUGAGAGAAAUAAAGAGGUACAAAAACAAUCUUCACAAAUUUGUUUUGUUAUCAUAAGUUGUGCCGAGUUUCAGUAAUAGUUGUUUCAUGUAUUCAUUUGUAUCUUAUUCUUUUAUAGUUGGCAAGAAAGCGGAACAAGCUCUCAAUCGAUGACCGCUUCAUAGCAAUAGGCGAGGAAUUGGCGGGAUUUUUCCUUCGGGACGUCAUACCACCACUCGCAGAGCACCACAAUGAAUGAAGAUGUACAUGUUACAUAUAUCGUUGACUCGAAGAGUACCACUAUGCUACAUGUAAUAGACAUAUAUAGAGUACG